ensembl:lncRNA
AAAAACUGUUCAAUUAUUGAUAAGGAACUCUCCUGACAUCACUGAAAGACAACAACCCUCUCUCCUCGCUGCCCUGCACAUCUGGGUUCCUCGGCUUGGUAGCUGGAAUAUGACGGGGGCAGGGGCCAAAGCAACCCUUGAAACGCAGCCACAAGAAAACACUCAGCACACAAAAAUAAUAACAACGCUGUAAUAACUUACAUUUUCUGAACCCUUGCUGUGUGCCAGGCAGGGUUCCAAGAAAGCUUGGAACCCCGGAAUCUUGGAACUCUUCUUAAGAACUCUAAGAUGGAGGUCCUAUAAUUAUUCCCAUGUUACACAUGGAAAAAUUGAGGCAAAGGGAGGUUAAAUAAAUUGCCUCCUUAGGUCACCCAGCUUGGAAAUGGUGCAGCAGUCUGGCUCCAAAGUCUGUGGUGUCCUCGGCUUCUCUGAACUGCUUCCAGGCAUAUGGAAACAUCAGGGAAGACACCACAGAAGAAAUGAAGCAGGAUUUGAAGGACGUGAAGGAAUUUGCAAUCAGAGUCACUCCUGAUCUUGGAAGGUUCCCUUUGGCUAUCUGUGGCAUUUAAGAGUAUAGCCAUAGAGAAAACCUAGGUUGAGUACUAACUUCAGUUUGAAUAGGUAAAGAGCCCACAUCCCUAGUAUAGAGGGUUAGAGGUCAUGUCAGCCUUCCAGCUCAGUCAGCACAAACCUACUCUUAGCCCUGCCACCCGUCUCCACAAUCCCAGAAACAGGUCACUAUCACUGGGAUUCCAAACUUGACUUUUCCUCUAAAUCUCCAGUCCUGGGGGACAACAGCCUCUCUAGGGUUCCAGUUGAGAAACAGGGUUUCAGAAAUCUUCCCUUUGCCUCUCUAGACCCACAGUCUAGCCUCUUGGGAACUGCUCUGUGAUUCUGGGAGCUCAUUUCAGUGACCAGAAUCAAUGGUGCCCGUUUGCUGUCUGGUUCUUGGUUGGGCUCAAACUACAGGGGGUGGGGCAGGAGAUAGAAAGUGAGGUUGGAGUAUUUAUUCCCCUGCCUCCACUUGCUGGGCCACUAUCGGUUGGCUGAGUCCCUCCACCAAAGGCUACAGAUCCUGCACACUGGGCUCUCUAUCUCAGGGUCCAGGUCAGCACUCUGUCUCUUGUCCUCUCAGGCCUAGGAGACUUGACAGCACUCAGCUAUUACCAGCCCCAGGAAACUGCACCGUAUCUUGUGGGUUGCCCAUACCUUUGUAAAUAGCUCCUUUAUUAAACAUUCCUCAAAUUGCCUAAUUUGAGCAUGCCAUCUGUUUCCUCCCAGCCCCUGACUGACACCUCCAGGUUCUCAGCCUGGAGACUGCUUUGCACUGUGCAUAUAUUUUUCUGGACCAGUGGAAAAUAAGGCUGCAAAUUUGGCUGUGACAAGGUUGUCCUUCCAAAUCUUUGCACAUCCUGUUUGCUCUUCAGUUUGGGCUGGUUGUAAGAGUCACUUUUCCUCCCAGUCCUUAGGAAAAGUGAUUUUUCUGGAGUAAUCUGAAAUCAGGAAGCUCAGAGAUACGUGUGGACAAAAUUCACAUUAACUGAAGGAACCAAUUCAUCUACCACACACCGUGAUCUCAGGAUGAAUUUGAAUUACACAAUGCCAAUCUUCCAGGACAACGUCUGGCACAGAGUAGGUCCUCUUAACUUCAUUAGAUCGUAUCACUGGCUUGACUUUACUCCCCAGUGAUUCCCAUGGAUAUUAUCCCAAACAUCCACCCUGCUCUGCAGCCUUCUCAUUUAUACACCUGCAAUGUAUAGAAAUGUAAUUCACAGUUUUGGAACUCCUAGUGGGUGCCAGGCGCUUCAGGCAGUAAGGUAGAGGGUGGCAAUUGGUACAGUGAGUAGGCAGGCUUACCCUACCCACUUCUUCCUUUAUUCACCUACUAGCUUGUAGCCUGAACCCAUUACUUAACACCUUCGUUAAUGUCUUAGUUUCCCUAUGUGUAAAAUACACAUAAUAAUAUUACCUACAUCUUAGAGUCGCUGGGAGGAUUAAGUGAAUAAGAUGUGUAAAGUGCUUAUAUACAUGUAUUAUGAUUAUACCCAUUAUUUCAUUUAAUUCUCAUAACCCUAGAGGUAUGUGUGAUUGUCACAAAUUUGCAG